GCCUCAGCCUCCCGAGUAGCUGGGACUACAGAAAUCUGACUUUCACAAGAGAACACUGGUUCCACCGAGGCUUUUGGGGAUUGGAAUGUAGUAGGCCCCUG